rnacentral:rRNA from 1 species
UACGUAGGGUGCAAGCGUUGUCCGGAAUUAUUGGGCGUAAAGAGCUCGUAGGCGGUCUGUCGCGUCGGCUGUGAAAACCCGGGGCUCAACCCCGGGCCUGCAGUCGAUACGGGCAGACUAGAGUGUGGUAGGGGAGACUGGAAUUCCUGGUGUAGCGGUGAAAUGCGCAGACAUCAGGAGGAACACCGGUGGCGAAGGCGGGUCUCUGGGCCAUAACUGACGCUGAGGAGCGAAAGCGUGGGGAGCGAACAGG